GAGGCACGAUUGCUCCUGGCAACACCAAUCUGAUCCCGAGAGAAUAUUGAGCUUCUAAGACAUUUCCAUUUAGAAGUUUGUCGUCUUCUUGGCACAAAAUGGCCUCCUGGGCAAAGAACUGCCCUUGCCUCAACUGUGGACAGUACGAAUGCUGUCCUUUAUAGAGGAGCAGGACACAAGGAAAAGCGACUAAUGAACUCUGCCAAGACAUGGAACUACAUAAACAGGAAAUAGUUUGCACACAAAAAUCACCAUACUUCGUAUCUCUGACAUCCCUGUUGGCAUGUACAUAUUCAAAAAGGUGUGAGGGACAAACUAUGUAACUUCAACUUGAUGAUUCUGGGUUGGCUGGCAACAAUCAUGGCAAUAAACUUCCACAAGCAAAUAAAUUUACACAGCCACAAAAUAGGAAGAUGGCCCAGUUGGUGAAGUGCUUUCUGCACAAACCUGAAGAGAUCUCCAGAACUCGGAAGAAAGAAGAAGAAAAAAGGCUAGCACUCAAAAGGUGGAGAUAGGAGAAACCCUGGGGCUUGCUGGCCAAUUCAGUCAGUCUAGCUCAAUCACAGCUGUUCACAAAGAUCUGGAACUAGCAUCUUGAAACACAGCAAGGCAAUUAUCAUCCCUUCAAUCAAAAGGCAACAAGGUUAAACUAACCAGCCAUACAUACCUGUCCUACCAGCUUGACUUACCCAUAAUCAUCUAGACUUUGAAAAAACAGAGAGUGAAUGCAAUGGUGAUUACCAGCCUGAAAACAGUAGGAAGGUGAAGAAAGGCUGAUCGCUGGGUUCUAAGCCACAUGUGGAUAGAAGCAAGAUGCUCUUACAGAUGAACAAAUAUGUACUAUUGCUCUAUAAAAGCUAGAUUUUGAAUGUUUCACCAUACAGAAAUGAGAGAUGACUGAGAAGAAACUUUUAACCUAUUUUAAAACACUACAUAAUCUAUACAUAUAUUGAAGCAUCACUUUUAUUACUAAAUAGACUUUUCAUAUUUUUAUGAUUUAGUUAAAGUGGGGGGAAUCCCAGAGGACCCAGAUGAGCCAGAUGAGCCAACCUAGACUUCCUGACGUACAAAAAUAAUUUUUAUUGUCUUAAGACGCUAAGUGUAUGGUAACUUGUAAGUCAGUAAUGGAAAACCUUUAUAGUGAACAAAAAUGUUAGGGUACCAGGAGCAUGGACUUGUGUUCUAACACAAGGUCAUUCAAGGAUAGCAGAACCAUAUAGAGGCAGGGAGUUUUCUGUGGCACAAUAUCCUUAUAAC